GGGUGCGAUCAUACCAGCACUAAUGCACUGGA
rnacentral:rRNA from 3 species